GCGACCCCAGGUCAGGCGGGACUACCCGCUGAGUUUAAGCAUAUAAAUAAGCGGAGGAGAAGAAACUUACAAGGAUUCCCCUAGUAACGGCGAGCGAC
rnacentral:rRNA from 1 species